rnacentral:lncRNA from 1 species
AUGAUUUGUCUAAUAAUUGAAUUUAUUUUUGUUCCAUUUUUACUACCUUUGAAACAGAACUCGGAUCCCUCGAUGUGCUUCGAUGAAGAACAGAUGAAGAUGUGACGGUAUGAACUGAAGCUGUCUCGUUCGUGCACAGCAAAGUCUCAUCACAGCCAUUCGCCAGCGCCUGAGGAAAAUGAAACCUGAAACGAAAUUAAACCUACCAGUCCACUGAUCACAUCCCAUCUCCAAAAGGAAGAACUGCAUUGCCACAAGGUUAACGUUCUACGAUAGCCUUGCAAACAACGUAAAACACAAAUAAAAUUAUCGACGUCAUAAAAAUAUUUUAGUAGUACGAAUCAAUAACCGACACAAGUUAAGUUGCGGAACUGUGUACAUUGAAAAACACAUAAUAAGGACAAGUUAAUCCAAAUUGGUGUAGCUGAUUGGUUGUGGCCGAGGCAGAUCAGUUACGGAAUUAUUAUGCAGACUGCUGCAUUCUCUACAUGGCCACCUCCUAAUGCCGACUGGCCAGCUGGUUCCAAGUGAAGAAUAAUAUUGGCUAUGUCUGACUUUAUUUCGUUGUGUUGGCAAACGGCUCAAAUAUUCGGAUCAAAGAUAGGGAAACCGCCAAACCGGAAACAAAUUUACACAGGAUUUACAUAAUUGCUUCGGUGUUGGAAGUGAUUAGAGCAGCGUGGCCACGAUGUAUCGCCGACAAGGAAAUCACGACCAAGAUCACAUAUCUGCUAAACGAUUUGAUUUGGCCCAGUGGUGGGUGAAUUUUUAAUUCAGGAGGACGAGUUGCAGUCUAGUGACAUUGAAUCGAACAAUACGCAUUAUAAAAGAUUGACGUCGACGUAAGAUGCAGAAAAUUCAACUCACCUGAGCCAACACCACGACAUUCAUCAAAAUGGAGGCAGCAGGUAAGAACUUUUUGUAUCUUUUCGCGAAUUGUAAUUUCAAUUGCGAAUUGCCGGCUGAUUACGUGCCCCAAUUCGCAUUAGCAAUCGUUUCAUUAAAUUGAAGUGUUGGUCUUACAUUUUCUUUUAAGCGGCCGUU